AACGAACGCUGGCGGCGCGUCUUAAACAUGCAAGUCGAACGAUCUGUAGCAAUACAGGGAGUGGCGGACGGGUGAGGAACACGUAGGAAUCUACCUAGAAGAGCGGGACAACCUUGGGAAACCGGGGCUAAUACCGCAUAGUACAGUGAUGUUAAAGGGCUAGCAAUAGUCGCUUCUAGAUGAGCCUGCGGUCUAUCAGCUUGUUGGCGGGGUAACGGCCCACCAAGGCUACGACGGAUAGCCGGUCUGAGAGGAUGAUCGGCCACACUGGCACUGAGACACGGGCCAGACUCCUACGGGAGGCAGCAGUUAAGAAUCUUGCGCAAUGGACGAAAGUCUGACGCAGCGACGCCGCGUGAAGGAUGAAGGCUUUCGGGUUGUAAACUUCGGUAGACUGGGAAGAAAAGUAAGUUCGUUGAGGGCUUACAUUGA
rnacentral:rRNA from 1 species